rnacentral:rRNA from 1 species
UACGUAGGGUGCAAGCGUUAAUCGGAAUUACUGGUCGUAAAGCGUGCGCAGGCGGCUUUGCAAGACAGAUGUGAAAUCCCCGGGCUUAACCUGGGAACUGCAUUUGUGACUGCAUGGCUAGAGUGCGGCAGAGGGGGAUGGAAUUCCGCGUGUAGCAGUGAAAUGCGUAGAUAUGCGGAGGAACACCGAUGGCGAAGGCAAUCCCCUGGGCCUGCACUGACGCUCAUGCACGAAAGCGUGGGGAGCAAACAGG